rnacentral:rRNA from 1 species
GACGAACGCUGGCGGCGUGCUUAACACAUGCAAGUCGAACGGAAAGGCCCUGCUUGCAGGGUACUCGAGUGGCGAACGGGUGAGUAACACGUGGGUGAUCUGCCCUGCACUUCGGGAUAAGCCUGGGAAACUGGGUCUAAUACCGGAUAGGAGCCAUUUUUAGUGUGAUGGUUGGAAAGUUUUUUCGGUGUAGGAUGAGCUCGCGGCCUAUCAGCUUGUUGGUGGGGUAAUGGCCUACCAAGGCGGCGACGGGUAGCCGGCCUGAGAGGGUGGACGGCCACAUUGGGACUGAGAUAUGGCCCAGACUCCUACGGGAGGCAGCGGUGGGGAAUAUUGCACAAUGGGCGCAAGCCUGAUGCAGCGACGCCGCGUGGGGGAUGACGGCCUUCGGGUUGUAAACUCCUUUCGCUAGGGACGAAGCUUUUUGUGACGGUACCUAGAUAAGAAGCACCGGCUAACUACGUG